rnacentral:rRNA from 1 species
GAUGAACGCUGGCGGCGUGCCUAAUACAUGCAAGUCGAGCGAACAGACGAGGAGCUUGCUCCUCUGACGUUAGCGGCGGACGGGUGAGUAACACGUGGAUAACCUACCUAUAAGACUGGGAUAACUUCGGGAAACCGGAGCUAAUACCGGAUAAUAUAUUGAACCGCAUGGUUCAAUAGUGAAAGACGGUUUUGCUGUCACUUAUAGAUGGAUCCGCGCCGCAUUAGCUAGUUGGUAAGGUAACGGCUUACCAACGCAACGAUGCGUAGCCGACCUGAGAGGGUGAUCGGCCACACUGGAACUGAGACACGGUCCAGACUCCUACGGGAGGCAGCAGUAGGGAAUCUUCCGCAAUGGGCGAAAGCCUGACGGAGCAACGCCGCGUGAGUGAUGAAGGUCUUCGGAUCGUAAAACUCUGUUAUUAGGGAAGAACAAAUGUGUAAGUAACUAUGCACGUCUUGACGGUACCUAAUCAGAAAGCCACGGCUAACUACGUG